rnacentral:rRNA from 1 species
UGCAGUCGACGGGAUCCAUGUUGUAGCAAUACUUCGGAAGAUCUAGUGGCGAACGGGUGAGGAACACGUGAGAAACCUGCCCCGAACUUCGGGAUAACAGUUGGAAACGAUUGCUAAUACCGAAUACCUCUGCGAAGUGGCAUCACUUUGCAAAGAAAGAAUUUCGGUUCGGGAGGGUCUCGCGGCCUAUCAGCUAGUUGGUGGGGUAACGGCCUACCAAGGCAUCGACGGGUAGCUGGUCUGAGAGGAUGAUCAGCCACACUGGGACUGAGACACGGCCCAGACUCCUACGGGAGGCAGCAGUGGGGAAUCUUGUGCAAUGGGCGAAAGCCUGACACAGCAACGCCGCGUGCGGGAAGAAGGCCUUCGGGUCGUAAACCGCUUUCAGCAGGAACGAAAAUGACGGUACCUGCAGAAGAAGGUGCGGCCAACUACGUGCCAGCAGCCGCGGUGACACGUAGGCACCAAGCGUUGUCCGGAUUUAUUGGGCGUAAAGAGCUCGUAGGCGGUUCAGCAAGUCGGGUGUGAAAACUCUGGGCUUAACCCAGAGCCUGCACCCGAAACUGCUGUGACUAGAGUUCGGUAGGGGAGCGGGGAAUUCCUGGUGUAGCGGUGAAAUGCGCAGAUAUCAGGAGGAACACCGGUGGCGAAGGCGCCGCUCUGGGCCGAAACUGACGCUGAGGAGCGAAAGCGUGGGUAG